UACGAUGAGGCGCAAGCGUUGUCCGGAAUUAUUGGGCGUAAAGAGCUCGUAGGCGGCUAGUCACGUCGGAUGUGAAAACCCGAGGCUCAACCUCGGGCCUGCAUUCGAUACGGGCUGGCUAGAGUACUGCAGGGGAGACUGGAAUUCCUGGUGUAGCGGUGAAAUGCGCAGAUAUCGGGAGGAACACCAGUGGCGAAGGCGGCACUCUGGGCCGGUACUGACGCUGAGGAGCGAAAGCGUGGGGAGCGAACAGG
rnacentral:rRNA from 1 species